UGGCUGAGUGGUAAAGCACUUGUCUUCUGAAACAAAAGGCUCGGGUUCAAAUCCUGG
rnacentral:tRNA from 1 species